CAGGUCGCCUUCCCCGGGGUUGGGUGGUGGUGGUAUUGCGCUCCCCGCCCUAGAGAGCCCUGCCUCUCUUUUUCCCCCUCCUCCUCCCCCCCCCCUCCCCACACAAAACAACGCGCUCGAGCUGAAGCUCGCUCCGGACUAGUGGGGGGGAAAGCCGAGCGAAGAUGUCGGAGCGAGCGGGCAGAGGCGGGGUGUGGAUGGGUGGGCGGGCAGCUUCGGCUGAAAGGCGCUUUCUCUGUAAGAGAAGGGCUGGGAGGCCUCGGCGGCGGAGGGAUACGGCGCGCGCGGAGGCGGGAGGAGCGAUGGAAGCGGGGGGGGGGUUGUGCGCGAGAGAGGCCCUUUGGCGGCGGUGGCGCUGGAAGUUGCUCAGUUUCAAUGUAGCCGAACUAGGAACCGAAUGAGGCAAAAAAAAUGCCCCCAGGGACCGCAGGCCCCACUGGGCGAGGCGGGCGUGAGAGGCUCCUCUCGGCCCUCGCCGUGCCAGGGCCUGCUGGGGGAGGGGGGUGAGCAGGUCGGGCCCGUCCUCUCCAGGCUUUCUCUCUUCUUCCACAUGCCUCCUUGUCGCCUUUAAAUGCUACAGAUUCCCAUCUGCUUAUAGUGGGAGACGGCGGGUUAAGACAGCAAUAUUAUUAUGAAAGCAGACAAGUGAAAAGGAUGAAAAUGGAUGCAACCUAUGGCUGGACUUGAGUUGCAGCUUUGAACGAAAAUAAGGAACCCAAGUCAACUAGGCAUCUUUCUUCACCACUUCUGUGGAGACGACCAAAAAACUACAAGGUAUUUUAAUCUUGUGCACUGAAAAUAUUUUGACUUAAUCUGAUGGAUUGUUCCAGUAGAGAGGAACUCAAGGCGAAACACACUUCCUCCAUUUUAUCUUCACAACCCUGUGAGAGACAUGCUCAUGCAAUCAUGGAACAGAGCUCAUGCCCCCAAUAUAGUUCUAACUUAAAAUUUUGCUAAGCUGAAGAAAUUGAUUCAUCAUUCCCUUUCCCAUAAAUAGAUACUGUGUUUUCACCUCUGAAUGUUGUUAGUAUCUGUGCUUAUAACAAUACAUUAUGUGACAACUAUCCCAGGCUGUGAGCCUACAACUCAGGUUGUUUACUGUUGCAAAAGUUUCACAGAACUGACCCGCAGUUGCUGCCUUUUCUUAUGUUAAUCCUACAUUAAUUUUAAUUACUUUAAGAUGUAAUGAUUUCAUUAACUAUUAACAGUUAUAACCCUCUAUUCAUGUUGGGUAGACUGAGCAAGAUAAUAUAGUGGUACAGAGAAAGCGCCCAGUAGGCAGAGUAAAACAUAAAACAAACCACUGUUAAAAUAAAUUUUUACCUUAGUGGUUUUUCUUGGCUUAGGCUCAGGUUUUGGUGGAGCUGGUUUCUAGGAAAGAAUUUCAGACAAUCCAAGCAUUAGCACAGUUGCUACCAAUUGUUUCUUAAUCUUUCCCCACUUCUUAACAUGUGACACCAAAGAAGCCAGAGGCCGUUUCUACAGAUAGGCUUCAGUCAAAAUUACCUUCUAUAUCUUAUCAAAAUGUCUGAAAGUCUGGUUCUCUGCACGUUAUAGAUGUACUGUGAGAAACAGUUUCCCGUCAUCUCCAAAAGAGGUUGCAUUUCUCUCUCUCCACACACACACACACACACACACACACACACACACACACACAAUGACCACACAUUUCUUUUCUGGAAAGGAUAUAAGGAGCCAGCCAACCAACACAACAUGUGAGUUUGGUUAUUCAGAUUCCUGUGAAUCAGGGAUGGGGAGCCUGUGGUCCCCCAUAGUUGAUGGACUCAAGUUCCAAUCAGCCCCAGCUGACAUCGCCGAUGGUCAAGGAUGAUGGGAACUGUAGUCAAACAUCUCGAAAGCCACAGGUUCCUUGUGCCUGCUAUAAAUCUCAGAAACUUUAACAACCGGAGUUUAAUAUUCUUUAAUGACUGGGGGUGCACUCCAGAUAUCCUUUACAGACUUUGGAAAAUGACAUAUUUCAUACAGAGGAAGGGGGGCACAAAUAGUUUGGAGCUAGUUCUACUACUUGCCUUAGGGGAGAGAGGCUGCAAGAGUUUGGCUGAGUAUCUAAAGCAGGAUCAGGAGUGCUGAUACCCAAUGCUGGAAGAUCUGUUCCUUCCAAUAUGCUCUAUGUGCAUAUUUGUAGGUAAAAUAAAUUAUUAUAAAAAUGCUACAGAUCUUGUGCUCAGACCAAAAGGAAACAAAACCCUUCGUAGCUGUCCCGGGGCUUCUUGCUGCUCAGGAAAGUUUGAUCGUUCCAGAAGCCCGAUUUACAUUCAAGGAUUAAACACCAAAUCUAGGUAACAUUGGCUUACCACUCGCCACACGGCAUGGCCAGUGCCACCUUGUCAAGCUUGACGUGAGAAAGAACGUGGCUUCCUAUCUACACAAACAAGCUCUUAUAAAUACUUACAGCUGACAAUCUUGCAGAUCGUCUUGUUGGCUAUAAAAAGGAAAGAAAAUAUCUUUGUAGAUUUGCAGCAGUUCACAUCCACACAAGGCAAAAAUCUGUCACUCAUUUGCCAACAAAAUAAAAUGUACCUGAAAGACAACAGAAGUCUUUAUUACCAAAUGCAAAGGUCUUUGCAUCCUGAGGGAUUAUUGUUUUACAUGUACGCGAUGUACUUGCUCAGCUUAUUUGCUUACUACGUUUUGGAAUCUUAUCUUCCUGUUUGUUUCUCUACGGUUGUGGAAACCUCUUGUGGCAAGAUCAGUGGAAAUUAUUUCUGGGACUGUGCUCCAAGGCACAUUAUGAACAAACAAAAUCUGAAACCCCCAUUCCCAAAGCCCAAGUAAGAGUGACUUGGUGGCCUUUGGAGCUUUCUAAAAAUAAUAAUGCCGUAUUCUUUGAGCACCCAAACACUGGGGAAUAAAUAAUGCACACCUAGUAAACUAGACUUUCUUGAUGUGGAAUUUGGAUUCUUUUGCAACGGAAUCUAAAGAGUCUUGAUGCUAAUGAUUGAAAUUUGAUACUAUGAUCAGAAAACAUCAGUGCUGACACGGAAUCUUUAACUUACUGCUCCUUUUGUAAACUGGAAUCUGGUGGGAGAGGAUCUUGAAAAGUCGUAACUUGUAAAUAACUGGUAGAGUUGUGCGGAAAAUCUGAGAAAGGUACAACCAGGAUUUUUAAGGGGAAUUUGUGGCUUCAUGGAUUGGCGAGUGAAGCAUCAAGCCACACAUUCAUUCAGAGGAAUUUUGAAUCGGAAGUACUUUUGCUUUCCUCUGUGACGUAAGUCAGGCCAAACUUAAAACAACAAUGUACUAUUUGUUUAUUUUAAUUAACGCUUUUAGAGAAUUUAUUGCAAGGCAGUGAACAAUAAUAUAAAGUUCGGCAUGAAACAAUGAUAUCAAAAACACUCCAAUAAAAUACUAAAAUAAUAAAAACAGGGGGCAAAGAUACAAACAACCCAAGGUUAUUAUGAUAUCACCAAGUCCAGCUGUAGAAAGCAAACCCAUCAACUGAGCUCUCCUUCAAGAAAAAGGCCAUGGCAAAAGGCAUGUCUUCAGGUGAAGACCAGCUGUGGUCCUACGGUACACAGGCACCACCAGCACAUUCUGCUGUUUUUCUGAUCUAACAAAAAUGAACCAUGAAUGGGGAUAUGGUCCCACCCAUGGAAAGCCUAUUGGAAGCUUGAGAAACUGCCAGGCAUGGUUGAGUAGGAGGGAGAAAGUCACAUUCAUCUGGGGAGGGGACAUACACAGUACUCCUGCGCCACCUAAGAGAUAACCCUUCAGGGGUAGAUCUUCACAGUGCUAGCCAUCUGUUCCCAUGCUAUAAGCAUUUGACAAUCUCGGUGCAAGCAUCCCCUGCUCCGUGUAGCACUGUCGGAACUGACAGGGCUGACCACACCUUAGGAAACAGGAAAGGGAGAACACUAUAAUAUUAGUAUUUGGUGUGCCACCUGAGGCAUGCCUGUAGCUUUUGUACCAUGUUUGUGUUUUCUAGUUGAGGAGGAUUUUCUCUUCCCCCUUCCAGGCUUGGGCAUGCACUGGACAUUUCACUGGCAAAGUAGCAAUGAUGUGAUAUGAGCACAGGACUGGUGUGAAAAACACAUUUUCUUUCCUAAAUGCGUGCAUCUCAAUCUAGUAGUCUCAUACAUGGUUGCACACAUGGAGUUGCACCUGGAGUUGCAGAAGAAAUUCUGGCCAAGUCUGAUGUUUGUGAACUACUGUGCAAGAGCUAGAGGAAUAUCGUUCAAGAGGUUGAGAAAGUUUGCUUUCCUCGCACAAGUAUCUUGCACUAAGUCAGGAAAGCUGCUGCUGCAAACUGAAGAGGCCUUCUUCGCCUUGCGGAAGGGCACCUUUUAGCACACACAGACCAUAAAUUUUCAGCUCCAGAACCAAAUUUCUUCACAUGACGUAAAUAAGCCUGCGCAGCGCACUGAGCUCCAGGUCAGAGUAACGAAGAGAAUUAUUCUACUUUAUCACACCAGUGUCAGGCUUUCCAUUUUUCCAAAAAAUGACCAUUUCAUUCAGCAGCUAUGGUUAGCCUUUUACUCUUGUUUCGAAAAAAAGUAUUUUCUUCCACACAGUCAUCUUAAAAAAACAACAACAACUACACAACACAACUUUGCCUCCAGCCAAUUACCCUCACAUGCUUCACAAAUUUUUACAUUUCUCAUUUCCACAAUUAACAUUCAGGUUUUUUAAGUUCAAAUAUGCCCUCUAGAGAACAUUAAAAGUGCUUCAGAAGAGAAGCAAUUCAUUGUUAAUUAUCCCAGGCACUUGGUUUUGUAAAUAAAAUUUGUUCUUUCAGAUUGGUAACUUCUUUGAAAAUAAGGACAUUCAUACAUUGAUCCGAUCAGGAAAAGCAUUCCCUUACUGCGCGUAAGUAAAUCAAAUGUUAGCGAAAAUGCCUGCAGUUUUGAGACUAGCUUAAUGCAUCGAUUGCUUUUAAAUGAGUGUAAGUGCUAAAAGUUGGGGUUUUUUUGUUGGCUACUUAGGUCACAAUGUGUCAUCUCUUAAACAAACGUAUCCUGCACCCACCUGCUAUCAUCUACACUGGCACUAAAUGGAACCUUGUAUAAGCGUUAAGGUUGCACAAUUCUGCAAAAAGUUGUGUGUAGGAAGCUGUCAAACUAUUGGUCUAUCUAUUCUGUACUGUCCUCACUGACUGGCAGUGACUCUCCAGGAUUUCAGAGGGGACAUUCCCAUCCCCAAGUGGAGAUGUUGAGGAUCGAACCUGGAACCUUCUGCAUGCAAAGCAGAUGCUCUGCCACUGAACUAUGGCCCCUACCUGAUAAAUACAGUCUGCAUGGAACUGUAUACAGUGUGCCUGCAACUUAUGUGUGUUUAACUUGCAUGCAUUCAGCUUUAUGUGCUUGGCAAAAAAAUAAAAACGGGGAUGGGCAUCUGGGAAAAAAGUCUUUGGCAAUCUCACUUGCACCCAAUGUGUUUUAACUAUGCAUUAUUUUGACUUUAGAUGCAAUCCCCAGAACGUAGCCCCUGCGUAAGUUCCAGGCUUAUAGAAACAGGAACAAUGAUAAACUCUCACCAUGCUGCUGUUUUCUACCUACCUGUCUGAUUUGCGCAAGUCUAUCAGCUGUGCUUCCCAGGAAGAAAAUGUUUUUUAAAGAAAUCUCCUGAAUUUAAAUGCAGUGUUGCUAUGAGCCAGUGACGAGACAAAAUGUAUUGAUAAGCCUUGCCUUAUUAACUGCUUCAAUUACCAUUACUGCUGACUGAAGGGGAAAAAUAUUCCCAAACCAGGCCAAUAGCUCAGCAAUUGUAGGUGUGGAAAAAUGAUUUUUAAAAUACAAUUGGCCUGGCUGCUCUCAUCCUCUCCAACACAGAGAAAGACACAACAGAACUGAGAGAAUAUUUUGGACUUCUGGCUCCUACAGUUCUAAACAUGUCUCUAGUUUUCCUUUCCUCCUUUUGUUCCCUUUUAACUGCAAAAUGAAAAUGCCUCUUAUAAUGCUAUCCAAGGCAUGCCUACUCAGAAGUAAGUUCCCUGGGGAUCACUCCUAGAGAAGCGGGAUCAAAAUGGCAGCCUUAAUGGAUUUUCUGACCAAAUAUAUUUUGUAAACUCGGUACAGUAUGUUGUCCUCAUUUUGUUGAAGCUGUGAUUACUCGUAUCUGCUUUUUCAAAAGUUAUUUAUAUAGUAGUACAGUAUUAGCAAACAGAUUUCCCCACCAUCUGAAACAUGAAAAAUUGGACGUUUUCAUAAAGAUUUCUGAGUUGUUGUGCGCAAUUAAAAAUCCUGCACCUACAUUGGUCCACAUUUCUAGGGAAUUAUUUCCUAAGCACUACACUUCACAAAAACAGACAGACAGUCUAACACAGGUAGUGGAGAUUUCUCCUAAUGACAGAGUAACAUGUGAAUAGGGCUUCUAUCUAGCCUAUGAAAUACCUUUAACAAGUCCAUAAAUUUAUUCUAACCUUCUAAAGUAGGCAUCAGAAUUACAUAUGUAUUUAAUAUAUGUAUAUUAUGGGGUGUGGGUUGUUUAAAUGUUCGCCCCAGAAUUUUGACUAGCACCUCUGGGCAUGGCAAAUAAAGCAUUUUAUUUUUUUAAAGAAACCAGGAGUUUUCUCAAACCACACAUUCAGUUUUCAGAGUGGGAUGAUAGAUCAAAAGCACUACCACAAUACUCUGUAUUUCAAAAAACCAAUGGGAAUCUCACUAGUUUAGUUUGUUGAUAUACUGACUAUUACUCUCCAUGGGACAUAAAAAUUCUGCAAUCACAGAAAGCCUAGGCAAACUCAACCAGCUUUUUACUUACUAUGGACAUUCUUCCUAAAACAACCCAUGAAAAUUACAAAUAACAAUGCUACUGUGUGACUUUUAAACAUCAGGAAGGUUUUAAAAAGUAUUAAAAUAGAAAAACUACUAGCAUUCAAUAGAUUCUGAAAUAUUCAAUGUAUGUAUAUUGUAUAUAGGUAUGGAAUGCAUCUUUCAUCAAUUACCUAAUAAGCAUUAAUACAAGCCCUCUUUUUCGAUGUAUAAAAACUACAUGCUUGCAUGGGCUCAAUAAAAUUUUCACAUUUAAAAUUUAAACCUUUACCAUAUCCUGUGAUUUGAACUGGAUGGUUGUUUUUUUCUGAUGCACCCUAAAUAUUUACAGUGUGAUCUGCUUUAACAUGUUUGAUUUAUUUCGGGGAAGGAUUAAAAAAAGUAACUCUCUCCAAGCAGCAGGUAUAUAAACAGUAAGUAGUAUUUGAUUCAAGAAUAAAGAAUGCACACUUAAAUGUAGCUUAAGUGUAAUAUGUAAACAACAGGAUAUGCUUCCAUUCCAUUUUAGCAAUUUUAACAAUUUUAGGUUUGGUGCUAAUCUGACCUGCACAGCCAAUUAGGCAAAUUUGCAGUAUGAAUUUGAGUUUGGUUUUGUAUAUAUGCACUUGUUUGUACCUCUAUCUAAAAAUCAACAAAGCAUGUUAUGUGCUCUCUAACACA